GGAAAAAUAUACUGUAUUAGGCAGUUCGUAGUAGUCUGUAUCUAGUUGAAAAUUACGUUCGGAGUUGAAAAUGGAAAUGUAGUGAAAUGUCAAGUGAUCGGUAAUAGAAAACGGUUUGAUACGUUUAAGCAAGCUUGUAAGCCUAUUUCAUAGCAGUUGUAAGUAAUUUGUAAUCAAAGACCAGGGCACCGCACUUCAAAAGCGUGCUGAUAUUAGAAGACAGGGGCGUAGUUUCAUAUACGAGCAGUCCUCUUCGGCUUUUUCGACAAGUGGCAGCCCUAAUGGCCGUCGUUUUUUCGCCGACAAGCAUUUAAUGCGUAGUCACCGAAGAGAAGUGUUAGUUACAGGGCCUGGCCUUUAAAAUUAAAUUUAAAUUAAAGAAAAAUUACUUAAACAUCAAAAUGAUCGGUUAUUUCAUAAGGCAAGAUGCAGCCUCUAAAGAAAAUUCAUCGAAAGGCAUUGCCAUCACCGCAGUCAAUACCAAAGAAGCCAUUUAGAAUGCAGGCAUCCAGGCAAAAACCAGAAAACGUGCCUGUAGCAGCUGCAGUUCGUGGCCUUGGCGACCCCGGACAAUAGAGGCCCUGGGAACCUAACCCAAAUGGCUUAUAGGGGUUGGACUGGACUCAGGUAGGCGAGGUCCCCGAAAACCGAGGCUACAUUCUUGCCACCGCUGCUAAAUCGAUCAUCAGUCGUCGGCGGCAUGGCGUAGUGGAAACUUCUCGUGAAAUUAGCUAGAAAAUGUACUGCUACAACUAGGGAGACCUAACGCAACCGCACCGAAACGUGUUCCAACGGGCAGUGACAACUUCUGGGCAUCCCCAGCCCCACCUUAAAAAUCUGACUCCUCAAUUCAAUACAUGUGACCAGAAACACACAGCUUCAAGCGCAAUACUCGCUUCAUAGAAUCAUUAAAACUUGAUGAAGCAAAGAAACCAUCAAAAAGUAAGAGAUUCUUCACCUGAGCUGCAAUUCUUCCGGGUGGCGUCUUCGAGGCAUCGAAGACGCGGCUGUCUGAAAUAGCGAAAGUGGUGCGAGUGGUGCAACUUGUGCCACUGCCAGCGGAGUGGAUGAGUCCCAUAUAAAAUGAACCUUGCAGACUUAGGAGACCCUAUGGCCCAUAAAUCCAGGGGGAGCAAUACUCCUGCCCGGAAAGUAAGGAAACGAAAACGCUUGAGAUGGAAAAGUCUGACUGGAACGAAAGAGACAAAGGAGCCCCAGAGCAUUCGCUUGGCGCCACCUGCGUUUCGAGAAGACGCGUACGCAUACCUCUAUCGGUCGCAUGUGGCGGUACGCGGAUGCGAGCGAGACAACAAUACUGUAGACAAGGAGAGACGGCUCCCUCUCUCCAUCACUCUCUGUCGCGCUGGCCAGGCGUUUGCAUCGCAAGCGGGUGAGUGAGAUGGCCAUAGGGCGGACUGCAAGGCCCGAAAGAGAGCAGUAAAGCUGUAUAACACCGAUAAGCAAUAAUCGACGCAUCGAAAGAUGCGUAUAACACACGGGCAUCCCUCGGAAAGCAAAGAGUUCAGACCGCACUCACGAAUACCGCUCCGCUCUGAAAGGACCGGCCAAACCAGAAAGAAAUGCUCUGCCAGGAGCGUAGAAUCGCAAUAAAGCAGUAAACAACUGCCAAAGCAGCAAUAACUCAAACCAAAGCUGACAAAGCCAGAGCUAUGCGCUCUAUUAAAGCCAAAGAAAGUGUCAUCGUAACGUUCACCACUCUUCACAUUCCAUCAAAGUCCAUUUCUGGUCCCUACAAAGCAGUAUUGUAGAGGUUCUUUUCUAUUUGUUUUAUAUAGUUGUUGGUUAUCACUGCCCAGGAACUCAUCAAUUUUUUUUGGAUUAUACGGACUGAAGUGUUUGUUAUGAAGAACUUGUAGAAUUAGGAGCCAUGCCGCCGCUUAACUAAGAUCCAAAAGCCAAGAAGCUACGCCCAGAAGAAACUGCCACUGCAUAGAUUCUUGAAGUGAGCAAGAAAGCUGAACUGAAAUGGUUAUCCACCGACUACAGGGCAUCUAACCUAUUAAACUUAAUGAAGACAGCACCUUUCAAAACCUCAAGCUAGGCCACGAAACGAACAAUUCAUCACAAAAGCCACAACAAAUAUUGACUCAAGAAUCAGUUUAGCUCAUCUGCACUCCUUUCUAACAAGUACUCAGCAGAAAUCACUCGAAAAGGGACAUUUUGAUUUUGCUUUAUUUAUGUGCUUUAGUUUCGAACUAACCAAAAUAUUGCUUGCAGAAAUUAAUCAGUUUAUUAGCUGAAAAAGCCCUUAAAUUAACUGCCAGGAGGUGAGUUUUUGUCUUCGAUUCUUGGAAAACGUUGAGUAGGGGCCCAACUAGAGGAAAAAGGACAGGCAAAGCCUGUAUAAAAAACCUAUAAAAAUAACAAGUUCCAACAGAAGCCAAUAUGAAACUGUUAUACAAGCCAAGUCAAAAGUUAUGCGAAGAAGAAAAGGAAGGAAUGUCAAGAAAUGUUUGCAAACGGAUGAUAAAAACAUGCGUUUCGUGAACGAAAGAAAUCCAAAAAAUAUUAAAAGCGAAUUAAGUGUUGUUCAAUCGUUUGGCCAACAUUUGAUUUGAGAAUGGCUGAAAAUAUUCGCUUAAACUUAUGUCAAAGCUUGUACAAAUAAAAAAGAUCCUUCUACUGGGCACCGACGAUGCGUUUUCACCCGGGAUUUAAGCAAAAGCUAUUAGUCUAUUGGCCUUGAUUAUUAACCUAUUUCUAUGCUGUGUGUUCUUUCAGAUGAGUUUUGAACAGAGACGAAACUUGGAGCCUCGCGGAGCCAAAGUUUUCAAUUGUUUUUUCUUUUUAAUUGCCUGUAUUCGAGUCGAUUUCCAGCACCCUUUCAUAAGUUUUCUUAAACAUUCGCUGGCUUAUUCUUGAAUCUGAGUUUCCAUUCAAAAAUCAUCUUUUCUUCGUUGGUCGGUGCUUGAGAUGAAACAUUGUGCCAAGUAUUUUUUCUGUUCAAUUGAACUUUAUCCGUGCAAAUGUCCUGCAGGAAGGGAAACCCAUUACAGGCUUGGGCUUUCUUCUGAAUGUGAUAUGCAAGCAGGUGUAAUAAAGCCUAUGAAAUCCAGUCCUACCCCACAUCAGGCCACAGCCAAGAAGCUCCGCCUAAUACAAGAGAAGAUUAUACUAAUCAGAUUGCUAUCUUUCAGAUCCGGCCCGAAGUAGAUCCUGUUCUAGAACUAACCCCUUCUGUUUACAGAUUCUCGUCAGUUGUUCUCAAUCGUUUCUUUUAUGUGUGUAUUACCCAAGUAACUUCAAUUUUUUUUUAACCGAGUCCCCUUCCUAUACUUGCUGUUUAUUUUCUAUGUUUUAACAUAACUACGUAUCCCAUUCAGAUCACCAAACAUACUUUUCUUACCUAAGCUAGAUUUGUAUUUCGGAAAACGCACCAAAAGGCGUAAUUUAGAAUCGUUUUCCGAAAUGGGAAUCAAAGAUAAGCAAUAUUUUGAACUGCGUAAAAUGAAUAAAUUGAACGGUAUUGAAAGCCUACGCUUUCAUUACGGUUCAUGAAGUAUAACUAAAAAAAAAAAAUAAAAAAAAAAAAUAAAAAAAAAAAAAAGAAAAACACAUUUACUAACAAAUAAAAACUUGCUAAUCAACGUUCUACGCAGUUCUUAAAAAGAUGUUGAAAUGAACACAACCAAUGCAAGUAAAAAUGUGUGGAAACGUUAUACGAAUCUUCACCAACUGCCCAAAUUACUAAAAGAAAAUUGAAAUCGUUAUACGCCUGAGCCGA